rnacentral:rRNA from 1 species
ACAAUAAAUGACUCUCGGCAACGGAUAUCUCGGCUCACGCAUCGAURAARAACGUAGCAAAAUGCGAUACUUGGUGUGAAUUGCARAAUCCCGUGAACCAUCGAGUUUUUGAACGCAAGUUGCGCCCGAAGCCAUCAGGUUGAGGGCACGCCUGCCUGGGCGUCACAC